rnacentral:lncRNA from 1 species
CAUCUGGAGAGCAUUUUGCAACAAGCAGGGCCUGAAUCCCACCUGCAGUGAUUCUGAUUCAAUCAGUCUUGGGUUGGUCUCUGACUUCCGUAAGCUUUCAAAAUUCCUCAGAUGAUUCCAAUACGCAGCUGGGUUUGAGAAGCAUUGGUCUGGAGGAAUCGUGUCUGUUUCUACCUGGCUGCCACCGCCUCGCCUUGCUCCCAUGGCUCUCAGGUCCCCAGGACUGCCUAAGAACUUCUUCCAGCAACACUUGCCUUUUUUGUUGUUCCAGAACAUUUACUGGUGAUGAGAGACUCUAAAGAAGUCACAGCUUGCUUCCUUUCUGAAGAACGUUGUGAUUUUGGCUCACGUGCAGUGCACGACAACUCUUCUCCAACAGCAUGACAUAGUCCACUGUCUCAGGAUCCCAUUUUUCCACCAGCUGCAGAGCAGGAAGGGACAAAUCAAAGUGUGAGCAUUCGGAUCACCAACGCUGUGACCUCGCUGUGUGAACGGGAGCUACUACAGGAAGGAAGCUUACAAAUGAGCUGCAUGGAUCCCACAUUUUGCUAAAAUCAAAUAGGACCUUUCUCCUCUUUGUUGAAUGCCGUAAUACACAAGAAAUAAGCCAGCAGGAUGCUCAUGUCCAAGGUUUCCCUUUAUCUACCACACGAGUUGGCAUGAAACAACUUCUGGGGUUCAAAUCUUCUGAACAAUGAUACAAGUCUUGGCAAAUUUCAAGAAUAAUUUAAAGAGGAAAUAAAUAGCUUUUUGUUUAACUUGGAUCAAUUAUCUCCUAUUGCUCCCAGCUUCAUGCCAGGUACUCUCCACUGUGCCUGGGAAAUAUGAAUCCCUGCCCUCAUGAAAAAACAUUGGCCAUGAGGAUUUUCCCUACAACCCAAGAACUAUUUGAAGUUUGAAGUCUUUCAGCCCAGACAACACUGGCUAUUUUCACCUUUGCCUUCAACUAUAAAGGCUGGGCUCUCUCUGCAGGAGUGGGUUACUGCUGGCAGAACAGAGAAAGAGAGAGAGCAGGAGAGAGAGAGACAGACAGAAUCCACUAGUAGAAUAAGCCAUGAUCACCACUCAAAACUUCUUUAAUUUUUGCAUCUGGCAAGAGUUUCUGCAAAUUCCCUGUGGUAAAGAUGGCAGGCUGCCCUGGAGAUCUUCUCUUCCUUGUGGGUUGGCUGUGGCUCGGAAGUGGCGGCUUCCUGGAGCCUGUGUGUCCAUUCCCAACUUCCUUGCAUCUAGAGCCUGUUUACUAGCAUGUCACUGCCUAUCACACAAUAAGGCUGGUGAAAUUCUAUUGAAAUAAUCCAUGUAAAAUGCUCAGUGGAGUGCACGAUACAAGUCAAUUCACUUCAGAAAGUAUCUACCCCCGUGUCCCCAGCAGCACAUUUCAUCCACACCACGAAGCGAACAGAAAGAGACCUAAAGCUUGGUCUAUGUGCUUCUGCCACUCACGUCUGAGGACUCUUCAGUGUUUGAAUUUUAAGAUUUGCCUCCAGUAUGAAACGAGAGGACUUUGCCUUCACUACUCAGCUUGAAGAAAGAGGAAGAGAUUUAUUUGGGGUGGAGAAUGUGAAGCCAUCCCAGUGACUGCCUCUUCCACAAAUUGUCUUUCUGUUCCAAGGCAAUGACCUCAGUGUUGUCAACUAGGAGGCACCUGAGCUAGUAAGGAGAAGCCAAGCAAGAGAGAGAUUUGCCUCAUCCCCACUGGUUAAAUAGUUUGCUCAUAAAAAAUUUCGGAAAUAUAUUUAUUAAGGAUAACUAUGUGCAACAGUUUCUAAAAUGUCAUUUGGGAUGUUGCAUGAGUGAUCAAUGUUAGGGUGGCAUGAAAAUCCUGAACUGUAGCUAGCAGGCUUUAGCAGCUGAAGGCAUUUUGUUUAAUACUGUAAAUACAGUACCAGAGUUUAACUGCAUUGACGAUUAUUUUACUGCUGACCCAUGGACCACAGAGUGGUUAAAAGCAAGGGCAUUUGAGGCAGGUGGCCUGAGGGUUCAUGUCCCUGCUGCAUCAUUUACAAUCUCCAUGACCAUGGGCAAGUUACUUAACUUCUGUAAGCCUUAGUUUUCUCCCCAUAAGUUAAAAUAAAGCUGUACCUUCCUUAUGAGUUUGGUAAGACAAAUACCUUAGACAGUGCAUAUAAAGUAAUUAACACCAUGCCUUGAAUGCAGUAGUUGCUCCAAAAAUAUUAAUUAUUGCCACUACCAUUCUACUAUCAUUACAAUUGUUAUUUUUUCAUAUAUUUGCUCAAAAAUACAGUGGAAAUGUAAGCAUGUAAACGUUAUUGUGUUCAGUAUAAUAUACAAACAUUAGCAUAAGUAUUUCCUUUCUCAUGAGCUUUUGCAGAGAUCACCUGCUAAUGAAUGUGGAAAAAUAGAAAUAAAUUUAGAACAUUUCUGUAGAAUCAAAGUUAUUUUCAGGUUCUCUAACACUUGAAAACAAUAAAAGCAUUAAAAAAAUUUUAUCGCAGAGAACUCCCUUAAAUCAAAUGCUUUGAAAUAUUUUAAAGAAAUGCUAAUUUGGAGAUCUUAAAAAAGAAUGAGAUCUAAAAGAUAUCAGAUGGCAGACCAAAAGAAAACUGGGCAUAAUUUUCCAAAAAAAAUAUUUUAUACUCUGUCCUUCAUUUUCAUUUAUUUUGGGGUAAGUUUCCAUGGAGUUCUAUCUUUGUGGAGUAAUUGAACUAGGCUGAUGUCUAAAAAGCAAGAAAAUAUUCUAGAAAAUUAAGCCUGAAAGCUAACAUAACUUUCCCUCUUGAAGCAUUUAAGAAGAUGGGAUUUCUCAAACCGGUAAUCAAAGAUUACCUGGAUCAGAGUCACCUGGGGGCAUUUGUUAACAAGGCCGAUUCCUAAACCCCAGAGGCCACACUAAAUCAGAGUGUUGUCCCAGUAAUACACAUCUUAAAAAGAGUCUCUUUACAUUGUUUGUCAUUUUGAUAAAUGCUGGGUGAAUAAAUACCUUCUUUGGAUAUUUUAAAGGAAAGCACUUCUUUUGCUAGUAUUUAUUUUAAGUGAAAGAUCAUCAUGGCCAGGUUUUUUAAAUUAUUGUUAUUCAUUUUUGGCUUUACAAGGCUGGCGAAUAUGCUUCUCAUUUCUGGCUACAGCCAAGCAUUAGAAAUGGGUCAUCACAGCGUUAAUGAAGGAGUGCACUGAAAUAAAGGUGUGAGGUAGGGGCAUUUCCUAUGCAGUGCCUGUGCGGUUGCUUGCCUGUUCAAUCAUGUGUUCAUUUAUACCUCCAAGACAUUUCUUAAUUGAAUCAGGUCUAUUUAACCCAGUCCAUAUAAUACCUAAAAGCAGCCUUAUAUACAUAUAUAUGGGAUCUCAGAUAACAGGCAGAACGUGAGGGAGAACAUUAGCUGUCUCUAUGCAAAAAUUUUUAAAUGGAUUAUUAAUGAAACAUUAAAACCAGUCUUCAAAGGACAGCAUUUUUUUACAUGAUCCCCAUAGGCUGUAUCUUUUUUGCAAUAAAUCUAUUUGUGUAAAUUGGGAGCCAUAGUCUGUCAGAUCUGUGAGUAGCAUUUCCACAUACAGUGUUAGAAGAAUCAUUGAAAGAAAGAUGCUAGAUUUGAGAAAGAUGAAAGAAAAAAACAUUAAAAUGGCCUAAUAAAAUUUCAAUUUGCAAAAUAUGAUUUUAUACAUUUUCAU